GCUGUGCUCCCCCAGAAAGACUCAGUUGGGUGGAGGCAGAGGAGCUGGGUGGGGGCCUGAGCUGCUGCAGCCCACAGGUGAAGGACUGCAUGGAGCACGCGGUCCUGCCCGUGGACGGGGCAACGCUGGCAGAGGUGAUGCGCCAGCGGGGCAUCAACAUGCGCUACCUGGGCAAGGUGCUGGAGCUGGUGCUGCGGAGCCCGGCCCGCCACCAGCUGGACCACGUCUUUAAAAUCGGCAUUGGAGAACUCAUCACCCGCUCGGCCAAGCACAUCUUCAAGACGUACUUACAGGGAGUCGAGCUCUCCGGCCUCUCAGCCGCCAUCAGCCACUUCCUGAACUGCUUCCUGAGCUCCUACCCCAACCCUGUGGCCCACCUGCCUGCCGACGAGCUGGUCUCCAAGAAGCGGAAUAAGAGGAGGAAAAACCGGCCCCCAGGGGCUGCAGAUAACACAGCCUGGGCUGUCAUGACCCCCCAGGAGCUCUGGAAGAACAUCUGCCAGGAGGCCAAGAACUACUUUGACUUCGACCUCGAGUGUGAGACCGUGGACCAGGCUGUGGAGACCUACGGCCUGCAGAAGAUAA
rnacentral:sRNA from 1 species